CCCUAUGGGGUGCGUUGGAAGACGAAAAUAGAGAGAAGAUACUCUACGAUUUAAAGGCCUUCCUUCAUCUGUUUAAGAGCCUCGGCAUCACGCUCAAGGGGCCGACUUUUGACGCCAUGCUGGCCGAAUACGUGCUCGACCCCACCAAGCGGGAUUUUUCCCUGUCCAACUUAAAAGAGACUUACGGCGCGGCGGGCAUGGCCGCCUCCCUCUUUGAGAUCGGGGAAAAGCAGAAAAAAAAGAUCGCCGAAAACGGGCUGGAACAGGUUUUUUACGAGAUUGAAACGCCCCUUUCAACCGUGCUUUUCGAGAUGGAGGAAGAGGGCUUCCGCAUCGACGUGGCCCGUCUGGAAGAGCUGGCCCGGACGUACGGAGAGCAAAUAUCGGCGCUGGAAGAGGAGAUCUGCACACUGGCGGGAGAGC
rnacentral:rRNA from 1 species